rnacentral:rRNA from 1 species
AGAGUUUGAUCAUGGCUCAGGACGAACGCUGGCGGCAGGCUUAACACAUGCAAGUCGAGCGCCCUGCUUGCAGGGAGCGGCAGACGGGUGAGUAACGCGUGGGAACGUGCCCUUCGGUACGGAAUAGCCCCGGGAAACUGGGUGUAAUACCGUAUACGACCUCCGGGUGAAAGAUUUAUCGCCGAAGGAUCGGCCCGCGUUAGAUUAGCUUGAUGGUGGGGUAAAGGCCUACCAUGGCGACGAUCUAUAGCUGGUUUGAGAGGACGACCAGCCACACUGGGACUGAGACACGGCCCAGACUCCUACGGGAGGCAGCAGUGGGGAAUAUUGGACAAUGGGCGAAAGCCUGAUCCAGCCAUGCCGCGUGGAUGAAGAAGGCCCUAGGGUUGUAAAAUCCUUUCGCUAGGGAAGAUAAUGACGGUACCUAGUAAAGAAGCCCCGGCUAAUUUCGUGCCAGCAGCCGCGGUAAUACGAAAGGGGCUAGCGUUGUUCGGAAUUACUGGGCGUAAAGCGCACGUAGGCGGCCUGCCAAGUUAGAGGUGAAAUCCCGGAGCUCAACUCCGGAACUGCCUUUAAAACUGGUAAGCUAGAGGAUGUGAGAGGAGUGUGGAAUUCCGAGUGUAGAGGU